UCUCCUUGUUUCUCGCCUUGUUUACAUCUUAGAGAGCCAGAAACAGAACUCCUUCUCCCUCACCUUGUUUGCUAUAUCAGUAUCAAAAUCUCAAAGGUUAUAGCUUUUUUUUUCCUCUCGUUCUCCUCUCUAGAUAGAACCCUAACUUUGUCAGAUCUCCUCAUCUUCAUCCUUCUGCUAAGAACCUUCAUCUCUCCAGAUCUAUUUGCUAAUUAUCUAAAGGAAUCAGCCUUCAUGAACCUAAAAACCACCUCUAUGAACCAGAAAGAAAAAAUCAACCAUUAAAAUCUCUUAUUCUAAAACCAUUUCUUCAAAACCCUUACCUUCAAAAUAAACCCAUUUUUUGUUGUUCUUUAAUCAAUUUCAUGUUUCGUGCUUGUUUAGGGGUUUGAUUUUCUACAAACUAAAUCAGAUCGCUGGUGGUGGAGGUUGUGUGGACUGAAUUGGUGCUGGUGAAUUGAUGCUUGGAGAGGGAAUCAAUGAGUUUGACAAAGCAUUGGUAGUGAUGAUAACUAGCUGGCUGCUAGUGGUGGAGGUUGUACGGACUAAAUUGGUGGUGGUGAAGGAGUGUUUAGAUAGGGAGAGCAAGAUUGUUCGAAAAGAUUCACAAACGUCUUUUUAUGAUGUCUAGUUGGGAAAUUAAUCUUUGAUGGUUAUGACACUAUGCCGGAUAUGAUUAUAUGCUUGGAAGAGGUUUACUUGCUGUGUUAUGGGGGGGCUUUAGCUUACCGAUACUGAUGGAAACCUAUUGUAAUCUUCUGUUGUACAAUAAUAUUUGUACUCCAAAUAAGUUAAAUGUGGUCACUAGGUAUUCAGGUCUUUUCUCGCUUGGUUAUUCUUUCAACUCCUUUGCAUUUGGUGUUUAUGUAUCUCAUUGUGUUAUGUACUGAAGAUGAUGAGUAUUCGGAUGAAGAUGAUCAGGUAAUAAUGUGAAAAGAGAUUUGAACAUUCAUUCACUUCUUGAUGCUUUCAGGGAGAUGAUGAGUAUUCAGAUGUAGAUGAUCAGUUUGAUACCUUCAUGGAUGCCGUCACUCUGUUCCCGAUGGUCUCAUGAGGCUAACUGAUGUCAUGGUUGAUGGUAAGAUCGUUGCUCCUGCUGGAUGUAGAAAUGGUUGAAAGAGUUUUGCGUCUACAGUUCUGCUCUCACGCAAGCUAGUGCCAAGAUCCCAAUGACUGAAAUUGUUGUUGAAAUUCUCAAGACUUGUAUCACUUAAGAAACCUUAAUAAUUAGAAGUUUUUUGUAAUGAUUUUGGACUAAAUUUAUGAGUACAGUUCAAUGUAAUCGAGUUGUCAUUUGGUAUUAGACAAAUCAGGUUCUAUAUAGAAUUUGAAUUUGAGAAUUUGAAUUUCACUUGAAUUUGAGAACUUGAAUAAUUGUCAUUUGAAUUUGAAUUUGAA